AUGGCUGGGCUGGGCGUGGGAGGAUUAGGGCCUCUCCUGGAGAGCUGCAAUUCUCUGGUCUGUAGACCACACUCUGAGAUGUUUUCAGAGGCUGCAAUUCUGCCACUUCCAUGCUGUGGAAUGUCAACGGGCUGGAUGGAGGAAGGUCCUGUCCUCAACUGGCUUGCCCACGACCUUGUGGUGUGUGGUCUGGCUACUGCAGACCCCAGUGGCGUAUUUACCUUGACUGAUGGGGUCCCUUGCGUCUUCAGCACUUUUGUGGAGAGCAGGAGAAACACAUCACAGUGCUCUGUCCCCUCUGAAGAAUGGAAGAGUCAUCAGCUCCAAGGCACCCAGCAUCGUUUCUCAGUCAUUGAGCUUGUGAACCAGAUCCACGUCAUCCUUUCUUCUGCAGUUCUAGGCAGGGAAACAAGGUGCUCUUGCAGAAUCCACAGCUGUGAUUCUGGACGUGGAUGGAUCCUGGACUUUGUCUUAGGCAACCAAGUUGGGGAGGGGGCCAGAGGGCCGUGGCUCCACUUGAUGCUCAGGGAAGCAGAAGUCCAGCCUCCAACCUCCCGUCUCCAGAACCCCUUCUGGGUGGCCAGUGUCCAUACCUCAAACCUCCUUCAGGGUGGGAUCCUCACUUGGCCCUCACAGCACCAGGUGGGGGAUAAAUCUGCUCCCUCCAUUAAUAACAGGACAAAUGCAUUCUCCGCAGUCAGCUACAAAGGCCCGGGAAGUGGAGCCUCCCUGGACUUUGUCUUAGGCAACCAAGUUGGGGAGGGGGCCAGAGGGCCGUGGCUCCACUUGAUGCUCAGGGAAGCAGAAGUCCAGCCUCCAACCUCCCGUCUCCAGAACCCCUUCUGGGUGGCCAGUGUCCAUACCUCAAACCUCCUUCAGGGUGGGAUCCUCACUUGGCCCUCACAGCACCAGGUGGGGGAUAAAUCUGCUCCCUCCAUUAAUAACAGGACAAAUGCAUUCUCCGCAGUCAGCUACAAAGGCCCGGGAAGUGGAGCCUCCCCAAAUCAAAUCAGCUUGUUCAUGUAG
rnacentral:lncRNA from 1 species